CCUACGGGGGGCAGCAGUGAGGAAUAUUGGUCAAUGGGCGCGAGCCUGAACCAGCCAAGUAGCGUGAAGGAUGACUGCCCUACGGGUUGUAAACUUCUUUUAUAAAGGAAUAAAGUGAGGCACGUGUGCCUUUUUGUAUGUAUUAUAUGAAUAAGCAUCGGCUAACUCCGUGCCAGCAGCCGCGGUAAUACGGAGGAUCCGAGCGUUAUCCGGAUUUAUUGGGUUUAAAGGGAGCGUAGGUGGGUUGUUAAGUCAGUUGUGAAAGUUUGCGGCUCAACCGUAAAAUUGCCAUUGAUACUGGCAGACUUGAGUACAGUUGAGGUAGGCGGAAUGCGUGGUGUAGCGGUGAAAUGCUUAGAUAUCACGAAGAACUCCGAUUGCGAAGGCAGCCUACUAAGCUGCCACUGACAUUGAUGCUCGAAAGUGUGGGUAUCAAACAGGAUUAGAUACCCGAGUAGUC
rnacentral:rRNA from 1 species